CCCCUCCUCCAGUUUUUAGUCCUACAAAGUGUUUGGUGCAUAGUAUAGAGGCAAUGUACUAUGCACCAAACACUUUGUAGGACUAAAAAUUGGGGGAGGGU